AUUAGCUGGGCAUGGUGGUAUGUGCCUGUAGUCCUAGCUCCUCAGGAGGGUGAGGUGGGAGGAUCUCUUGAGCCCAGGAGUUCAAGGUUGCAGUGAGCCAUGAUUGUGCCACUGCACUCCAGCCUGGGCAACAGAGCCAGACCCUGUCUCUAAAAUAAUAAAUAAAUAAUUUUAACAGUAAUAUGUUGAUUUGAAAAUGAACCAAAAAUCAAUUUUCAGUUUGAAAAGUGCCAUAAUCAAAAGUAAGAAGCCAGUGGAUGAGUCCAAAGUUUAAAACCAAUGCACAGACACAGCAAAAGAGAAAUUAUUCAACAAGAAUGUGCAGCCGGAGAAACUACCCAGACUAGAACACAUAGUGACCCAAUAUGGGAAACAUCACAAAACAUAAGAGAUAUUCAAAAUGUCUAAAUUGGCUUACUAAAAAUGCCAGAAAGACUAAAAUUAUCAAAUGGGGCAGAGGCAACAAUUGAAGAGAUAAUGGCUAAUAAUUUCCCAGAACUGAUGAAAAAUCAUCUCACAGAUUCAGAAAGCCCACUGAAUCUUUAGCAGGAUAAAUAAAAAGAUAUCCUGACCUAAACACAUCAUACAAAAAGAGAGUAGGCAGAGAUGAAGAAAGGGACUACCUUCAAAGAAGAAAAGACUGACACAUGAAUUCUCAAAAACUGGGACAGGAAGGCAGAGGAUGGACAUCGUCAAAGAAUGUGCUGAAAUAAUGGCCGACAGCAAUGAAGUGAAAGGGAGACAUUGUCAUUCAGACAGUGGCUGAAAUGACUGGUCUCCACGGACUCACACCUUCUGAACAAUGGGACUGUGUUAUCACUGGAGCGUGGGCGUGAGCUACCUUGUUUGGUACACAUUUCCCCCGACAUUUCCACCUUAGAUGAGAGGCAAAGAUGCUGGAAGGAAGGAAGAGCAAAGAAAGAAAUAUACAAAUGCCGCCAGAGUUUUGGUGAUUUCAUUGCUGUAUUACCCAGUGCGUCUCUGCAAACAACAUUCCCUGACUUUAGCGCUUCACCACUGAUUUGGCUACCGAGCUAAUGACAGCAUGUGAAAGAUCCUACGUCCAAAGAAAGCUGGUGAAAGAUCUGGCCUUAAGUUCUUAGAGCCACUCUCAUCAUGAUCGUUGUAUUUACACUAUACUACCACACUGGGGGAGAUUCACCGGACUUGAAAGCAAACAAACAAAAAGGCUAGCAAAGCUUCUUCUACCAUCAAUAAAUACAAACUUUACUUCUCUAAUCUAGAUACU
rnacentral:lncRNA from 13 species